rnacentral:rRNA from 1 species
UACAGAGGGGGCAAGCGUUGUUCGGAAUUACUGGGCGUAAAGGGCGCGUAGGUGGCCUUCUAAGUCGAACGUGAAAUCCCUGGGCUCAACCCAGGAACUGCGUCCGAUACUGGAAGGCUUGAAUCCGGGAGAGGGUAGUGGAAUUCCCGGUGUAGUGGUGAAAUGCGUAGAUAUCGGGAGGAACACCAGUGGCGAAGGCGACUACCUGGCCUGUUCUUGACGCUGAGGCGCGAAAGCUAGGGGAGCAAACGGG